GCAAAUGCUUUCUACAGG
rnacentral:siRNA from 1 species